rnacentral:rRNA from 1 species
GUGAACGCUGGCGGUAGGCCUAACACAUGCAAGUCGAACGGCAGCACAGUAAGAGCUUGCUCUUCCGGGUGGCGAGUGGCGGACGGGUGAGGAAUACAUCGGAAUCUACUUUUUCGUGGGGGAUAACGUAGGGAAACUUCCGCUAAUACCGCAUACGACCUACGGGUGAAAGCAGGGGAUCUUCGGACCUUGCGCGAUUGAAUGAGCCGAUGUCGGAUUAGCUAGUUGGCGGGGUAAAGGCCCACCAAGGCGACGAUCCGUAGCUGGUCUGAGAGGAUGAUCAGCCACACUGGAACUGAGACACGGUCCAGACUCCUACGGGAGGCAGCAGUGGGGAAUAUGGGACAAUGGGCGCAAGCCUGAUCCAGCCAUACCGCGUGGGUGAAGAAGGCCUUCGGGUUGUAAAGCCCUUUUGUUGGGAAAGAAAAGCAGCAGGUUAAUACCCCGCUGUUCUGACGGUACCCAAAGAAUAAGCACCGGCUAACUUCGUG